rnacentral:rRNA from 1 species
GUGGGGGAUAACGCAGCGAAAGUUGUGCUAAUACCGCAUACGCCCUGAGGGGGAAAGUGGGGGAUCGUAAGACCUCACGUUAUUCGAGCGGCCGACGUCUGAUUAGCUAGUUGGUGAGGUAAUGGCCCACCAAGGCGACGAUCAGUAGCGGGUCUGAGAGGAUGAUCCGCCACACUGGGACUGAGACACGGCCCAGACUCCUACGGGAGGCAGCAGUGGGGAAUUUUGGACAAUGGGGGCAACCCUGAUCCAGCCAUUCCGCGUGAGUGAAGAAGGCCUUCGGGUUGUAAAGCUCUUUCACUGGAACGAAACGGUAGAGGCUAAUACCCUCUGCUAAUGACGGUACCGGCAGAAGAAGCACCGGCUAACUACGUGCCAGCAGCCGCGGUAAUACGUAGGGUGCGAGCGUUAAUCGGAAUUACUGGGCGUAAAGCGUGCGCAGGCGGAUUGUUAAGCAAGACGUGAAAUCCCCGGGCUUAACCUGGGAAUGGCGUUUUGAACUGGCAGUCUAGAGUGUGUCAGAGGGGGGUGGAAUUCCACGUGUAGCAGUGAAAUGCGUAGAGAUGUGGAGGAACACCAAUGGCGAAGGCAGCCCCCUGGGAUAACACUGACGCUCAUGUACGAAAGCGUGGGUAGCAAACAGGAUUAGAUACCCUGGUAGUCCACGCCCUAAACGAUGUCAACUGGUUGUUGGGGGAGUGAAAUCCCUUAGUAACGAAGCUAACGCGUGAAGUUGACCGCCUGGGGAGUACGGUCGCAAGAUUAAAACUCAAAGGAAUUGACGGGGACCCGCACAAGCGGUGGAUGAUGUGGAUUAAUUCGAUGCAACGCGAAAAACCUUACCUACCCUUGACAUGUCCAGAAUCCUGCAGAGAUGCGGGAGUGCCCGAAAGGGAAUUGGAACACAGGUGCUGCAUGGCUGUCGUCAGCUCGUGUCGUGAGAUGUUGGGUUAAGUCCCGCAACGAGCGCAACCCUUAUCAUUAGUUGCUACGCAAGGGCACUCUAAUGAGACUGCCGGUGACAAACCGGAGGAAGGUGGGGAUGACGUCAAGUCCUCAUGGCCCUUAUGGGUAGGGCUUCACACGUCAUACAAUGGUCGGUACAGAGGGUUGCCAAGCCGCGAGGUGGAGCCAAUCCCAGAAAGCCGAUCGUAGUCCGGAUUGUUCUCUGCAACUCGAGAGCAUGAAGUCGGAAUCGCUAGUAAUCGCGGAUCAGCAUGUCGCGGUGAAUACGUUCCCGGGUCUUGUACACACCGCCCGUCACACCAUGGGAGUGGAAUCUGCCAGAAGUAGGUAGCCUAACCGCAAGGAGGGCGCUUACCACGGUGGGUUUCAUGACUGGGGUGAAGUCGUAACAAGGUA